GGGUGGUUUGCUUAGGCGCAGACGGGGAAGCGGAGCCAACAUGCCAGUGGCCCGGAGCUGGGUUUGUCGCAAAACUUAUGUGACCCCGCGGAGACCCUUCGAGAAAUCUCGUCUCGACCAAGAGCUGAAGCUGAUCGGCGAGUAUGGGCUCCGGAACAAACGUGAGGUCUGGAGGGUCAAAUUUACCCUGGCCAAGAUCCGCAAGGCCGCCCGGGAACUGCUGACGCUUGAUGAGAAGGACCCACGGCGUCUGUUCGAAGGGUCCGCAAGCAGGUGGUGAACAUCCCGUCCUUCAUUGUCCGCCUGGAUUCCCAGAAGCACAUCGACUUCUCUCUGCGCUCUCCCUACGGGGGUGGCCGCCCGGGCCGCGUGAAGAGGAAGAAUGCCAAGAAGGGCCAGGGUGGGGCUGGGGCUGGAGACGACGAGGAGGAGGAUUAAGUCCACCUGUCCCUCCUGGGCUGCUGGAUUGUCUCGUUUUCCUGCCAAAUAAACAGGAUCAGCGCUUUACAA
rnacentral:lncRNA from 1 species